AGAAGCUCUCAGCCCCUAGCUCCUACAGGAGGGUGUGAGCUGCUGUGGACCAGGCUGGAGGGAAACCACCACCCCUAUUCAUCCAUGAUGCGCCCGGAUGCUGGGGGGACAGAGACAAAUACGAUUCUGCCUCCACGCUCGGAGCUAAGACUACCGUGUAAAUGUGUGUGCCCCACAGACAGACUCGAGCUUACAGGAGCUGUGAGAGAGGUCCGGGAGUCAGAAAGGAGGGAGUGGUCAGGUCUCCCUGAAAACAACUACUGUUCACCAAGGAAAAAGCGAAAAUAGCUUCCAGCAUCAGUUUUGCCGUGUGCCGGUAGAGGCAGCUCACACCCCGAGCAGACUGCGUGGCCCCGCCAAGCGCCUCCACCAGGAACUGCACCUUACAUCUCAGCAUUGUGAGCGUCUGUGCUUUAACCUCGAUUUAUGCUGUGUAUCCGUUAGCAAGCGGUUGUGACCUAAGAUAAGGAAACUGAGGCACAGAGAAAUUAAUUAACUUGCCUGGGGUCUCACAUCUAGAAACUGGCAGCGCCAGGAUCCAAAGUCCAUUGAACUCCGGAAUCUGUGCUGUUACCCACCAUGCCGUUGCUGCAGAAGGGACAGGCAGGUAGGAAAGACUGAGCAGAGGUGACGCUUGAGCCAAAGCCAAACCUAAUCAAGUCAGAACUCAGCAGGUGAGACAGCACUGGGAAGAGCAGGUGAGGCAGAGAGCAGUCUGAGCAAAGGCUGGGAGGGAGGACCUUGCAGCAGCUCAGGGUCUGCACCGGUUCUGUGGGCCUCAGACUGGAGAUGUGGCCACCAGCCUCACCCUGGAGUCCUCAUGAGCCCUGCCAAGCAGUCUGGAGCAACAGGGCUCUGGGUUGCAAACAAGAGAAAACAACAUUGGUUAAUUUGAGCAAAAAAGGACUUUAUUGGAAGGAUACUAGGGAGUCGCGGAACUCAUAGAACAGACUCAAAGGGCAGGAAGUAUGGGAUGCUGGCUGCCAGGACCACAUGAGGACCCUGCCACAGGAGCCAACGGUAGUGUUCUGCCAUCUCCACACUGGACGGCGGAGGCCCAGGGCUGCCGCUGGACACGUGAGGCCACCACCUCGCUGAAUCCUCAAUUAUCUUUCCCUCUCUUCCUGGUCCUCGUUCCAGGUCCUCAUGCAAAAUCUGAUUGGCUGAGCUCAGGUGAGAUGCCUAUGUCCUGGUUGCUGGGAUCACGGGGAGCAAGUGUCUGGCCUCUUCAUGCCCAUGGAGGGAAGUGGCGUCUUGCAGUCAGCGCAUUUGUAGAGGUUGAGACUGGGCAGCCAAAACCCAAUAACCAUCCAUUACACGACUGCACGGACAAUGGGAAGUCGCCAAAGGGUUUUUUUUUU